GAUGAAGAACGUAGCGAAAUGCGAUAAGUAGUGUGAAUUGCAGAAUUCAGUGAAUCAUCGAAUCUUUGAACGCACAUUGCGCCCGCCAGUAUUCUGGCGGGCAUGCCUGUUCGGGCGUCAUUUCAACCAUCAAGCCCUGCUUGCGUUGGGGUCCUGCGGCUGCCCGCAGGCCCUGAAAACCAGUGGCGGGCUCGCUAGUCACACCGAGCGCAGUAAUACAUCUCGCUUUGGGCGUGCGGCGGGUUCUUGCCGUUAAACACCCCCUUUUUACCAAGGUUGACCUCGGAUCAGGUAGGAAUACCCGCUGAACUAAAGCAUAUCAAUAAGCGGAGGA
rnacentral:misc_RNA from 1 species